rnacentral:rRNA from 1 species
UACGUAGGUGGCAAGCGUUGUCCGGAUUUACUGGGUGUAAAGGGAGCGUAGACGGCAGAGCAAGUCUGAAGUGAAAGCCCGCGGCCCAACUGCGGGACUGCUUUGGAAACUGCCCGGCUAGAGUGCUGGAGAGGUAAGCGGAAUUCCUAGUGUAGCGGUGAAAUGCGUAGAUAUUAGGAGGAACGCCAGUGGCGAAGGCGGCUUACUGGACAGUAACUGACGUUGAGGCUCGAAAGCGUGGGGAGCAAACAGG